rnacentral:rRNA from 1 species
UACGAAGGGUGCAAACGUUGCUCGGAAUCAUUGGGCGUAAAGCGCACGUAGGCGGCCACGAAAGUCGGAUGUGAAAUCCCUCGGCUCAACCAAGGAAGUGCAUCCGAAACUGUGUGGCUUGAGUACCAAAGAGGAUCGCGGAAUUCCCGGUGUAGAGGUGAAAUUCGUAGAUAUCGGGAGGAACACCAGUGGCGAAGGCGGCGAUCUGGGUGGAUACUGACGCUGAGGUGCGAAAGCGUGGGGAGCAAACAGG